rnacentral:lncRNA from 1 species
UUUAAUUCAGCUAAAUUAAUAAGCUAGAAUAGCUUAUUAUCUAAGUUCAAUCUAUUGGGAAAUUCCUAGACCUUGGAGACGGCAAUAGCAGCAGCUUAAAUGUUCCAAUUCAGCUGAUUAAUUAAGCUGAUUACUUAGACCUGAAGAGUUCAUUGUUUGAGCAGCUCAAAGCCUUAAUUCCUUUCAAUAAAUCUGCCUUGGGAAUUCAAAUGAUCAGCAGCAGCAUUAGUGAUGUCUUGGACACCCAAAACAGCUUCUAGUGUGAACUAGUGAAGACAAUCGGUCACCAUGUGUGAAAAGUUGGUUCUGAACAGCCAUCAAGUGUGAAAAGAAUAUAAGAGCUAAAUGGCCAUGUGUGAAUACUCUUUUGUCUAUUGCUAUGCACGAACAGACUCUUAGGGAAGAGGAAUGAGCUGAAGCUUAA